UGCGCCCGUAGCUCAAUUGGAUAGAGCGCUGCCCUCCGAAGGCAGAGGUUCCGCGUUCGAGUCGCGGCGGGCGUAU
rnacentral:tRNA from 1 species